GGGUGGAUGUAGCCAAGUGGAUCAAGGCAGUGGAUUGUGAAUCCACUAUGCGCGGGUUCAAUUCCCGUCGUUCGCCCA
rnacentral:tRNA from 1 species